UUCAGGAAUCUGCAUGCCUAGUGCCAGUAUUGUAGCUCUAGCUAGUUUCCGAGAUCUCAGCGUUCAUACGGACAGACGGACAGACGGUCAGACGGACAUGGCUAGAUCGACUCGGCUAGUGAUUUGUAGGGUACAAUGCACGCACGCACGCAUAAGGGUUAAAGUUUGGCUGUAAGUGUUCCUCGCUCGCAUGUACAAAACGUAAAUAGCGGCAUAAUUCCCGAAUUUGCUGGACCGCCUCUCUGUACUGUACGUCUGCCAUCUCGCUCGCACGAUCUGCGCCGCGGCGAUUGAACAUCCGGCGAAAAUCAGUGUGAGCGACGAGACGACGGAAAAUAUCACGCCAUAACGCCGUUAUUCUCCGUCUCUGCGCUCCCUACUUAGAUUCCUGGAAGCGUAGUCAGCCAAGUAGGCCAACUUCUGUGCACAGCUCGAGCACUUGAGUUUCUCUCGCUAAGGCCAGCAGACGUGCGCCCAAAACCAAUAGUCAAAUCAAGCAAGUCUACGGGAAAACUGACCGACAAACGGUACCAUAGUGCGGCAAGGGGCAACCUGUACAAUAAUAGCUAAAGUGAAUAGUGCAAAACCAUAGUCUGAGAACCCACCCCCCCGCAAUCGAUCUCUUAACAGGCGCUAAGUCCCUGCCGCUCAGUGUAUGCUGGCGCUGAUAUCGUCGAACGAUUGCAGAGUGGGGGGUGGCUUUUAGGACCCUGGUCGGUUGCCGGCAAUUUAUUGCGAGCGCAUUUAUAAACAAUCAGAGGGAAUUUUCUUCGACUUGGUCAGGUGGUCGGAUCAGCCAUCCAGCGCCCGCUUCUCGGCUUACGUACCGGCAGCGGAGGCGCCUUCAUGAACAGUUAAACGACGCAGACCAAGCCAACACUCACACGUCAGAGACUAUAUGUGUAGUCGGGUAGGUACCCCGCUACCUUAACCCCACCAGGACAUGAGGCCCAGAUAACAGGAGACAUCGGCCGCACGGCGUUGCCAGAUGCGAUUCGGCUGCUGUAUGCUCAGCGGCGGUAACUUUGCGUAGUUUUUAGUUUCUCCUUUUUCUAUUUGCUGUAUUUGAGUACUUUUUUUUGCAUAAAUGUGCUUAUACGAAAUUUCUAACGAUAGUUUUAAAUACGCCCAUUAGGUAAAAAGCUUCUUAUGUAAGCGGGAAGUGCAUCGAAGUUAAUGUUGUAAACAUCACACAUAUACAUAUACAUCAUGUUCUAAUCUACCCUCAAGAAAUCAACGAGAGCUUCAUUGGGCCCAACGAACGCUUCGAUGGAUUUUCCUAUAAAGUACCGAUAGUGAGUAACCCUUAAUGAAUAUUGUAUGAAUAUGUUAGAGCCUUAAUUAUUGUCGAUGCGAAUCCCGCGGUAGCUGAAACCCCUGGCGUAAAUAUAAUAGUAAGAAUUUAUCUAUUUAACCGCCCACUUUAACUUGCAAUGAUUUGCUAUAUAUAUGUAUAUAAUUUAUUAGGGAUAUAAAUCUUGAAGUAUAGCCAAUAAGUAAACGGCACCAGCUGUGCAUUGAUUAUCUAAAACGACCUUUGAAGGGUUUGUUAGAACGUACCGCGCGUUAAGUUAUGAAAUAAAUGAAAACUAUGAAUUCUUUGUAUAACGCUA